AUUUGGGGAUUUAAAGUGUGCAAUGCAGCCCCUAAGUCUAAAAAACAAAGACUAUGAAAAAUUUCAAAAUUUUGGCACCAAGCACGAACUUAGUGCUAUCUCACCACCAAAGAUAGCUAGCUUGAAAAGCAACUAAAUUGAAACAUUUCUUGCACCUACAUUUUGAUAGUAGUCGUCAUUUAUGGAUUUAAAGAGUGCAUUGCAGCCCCUAAGUCUAAAAAACCAAGACUUUCAUAAAUUUCAAAAUCUUGGCACUAAGCACCAACUUAGUACAGUCUCACCACUAAACAUAGCUUCCUUGAAAGCAACUAAAUUGAAACAUUUCUUGCACCUAUAUUUUGACACUAGUCGUCAUUUGGGUAUUUAAAGAGUGCAUUGCAGCCCCUAAGUCUAAAAGCCCAAGACUUUAAAAAAUUUCCAAAUCUUGGCACCAAGCACAAACUUAUUUCAGUCUCACCACAAAACAUAGCUUGCUUUAAAAGAAACUAAAUUGAAACAUUUCUUGCACAUAUAUUUUGACACUAGUCGUCAAUUGGGGAUUUAAAGAGUGCAACGCAGCCCCUAAGUCAGAAAAUCCAAGACUAUAAAAAAUUUCAAAAUCUUGGCACCAAUCACGAACUUCGUCCUAUCGCACCACCAAACAUAGCUAGCUUGAAAAGCUACUAAAUUGAGACAUUUCCUGCACCUAUAUUUUGUCACUAGUCGUCAUUUGGGGAUUUAAAAAGUGCAUUGCAACUCCUAAGUCUAAAAAACGAAGAGUUUAAAAAAUUUCCAAACCUUGGUACGAAGCCCCAACGUAGUCUAGUCUAAUCACUAAACAUAACUUGCUUGAAAAGAAACUAAAUGGACACAUUUCUUGCACCUAUAUUUUGACACUAAAUAUCAUUUGGGGAUUUAAAGAAUGCAUUCCAGCCCCUAAUUCUAAUAAACCAAGACUUUAAAAAAUUUCAAAAUCUUGGUACCAAGCACCAACUUAGUCCAGUCUCAGAACCAAACAUUGCUUCCUUGAAAAGCAACAAAAUUGAAACAUUUCUUACACCUAUAUUUUGACACUAGUCGUCAUUUGGGUAUUUAAAGAAUGCAUUGCAGCCCCUAAGUCUAAAAAACCAAGACUUUAAAAAAUUUCCAAACCUUGGUACGAAGCACCAACGUAGUCCAGUCUAACCACUAAGCAUAGCUUGCUUGAAAAGCAAUUAAAUGGACACAUUUCUUGCACCUAUAUUUUGACACUAAUUAUCAUGAGGGGAUUUAAAGAGUGUAUUCCAGCCCCUAAGUCUAAAAAACCAAGACUUUAAAAAAUUUCCAAAUCUUGCCACCAAUCACCAACUUAGUCCAAUCUCACCACCAAACAUAGCUUGCUUAAAGAGCAAAUAAAUUGAGACAUUUCCUGCACCUAUAUUUCGACACUAAUUAUCGUUUGGGGAUUUAAAGAGUGCAUUCCAGCCCCUAAGUCUAAAAAACAAGGACUUUAAAAAAUUUCCAAACCUUGGUACCAAGCACAAACUUAGUCCAGUGUCACCACUAAACAUACUUGCUUGAAAAGCAACUAAAUGGACACAUAUCUUGCACCUAUAUAUUGACACUAAUUAUCAUUUGGGGAUUUAAAGAGUGCAUUCCAGCCCCUAAGUCUAAAAAACAAAGACUUUAAAAACUUUCCAAAUCUUGGCACCAAGCACCAAUUUAUUUCAGUCUCACAACAAAACAUAGCUGGCUUGAAAAGUAACAAAGUUGAAACAUUUUUUGCACCUAUAUUUUGACACUAGUCGUCAUUUGGGGAUUUAAAAAGUGCACUGCGGCCCCUAAGUCUAAAAAACCAAGACUAUCAAAAAUUUCCAAAUCCUGGCACCAAUCACGAACUUAGUCCUAUCUCACCACCAAACAUAGCUUGCUU
rnacentral:lncRNA from 1 species